AAUCAACGCUGGCGGCGUGCCUCAGACAUGCAAGUCGAACGAUUAAGACUUCCUUCGGGAAGUGCAUAAAGUGGCGCACGGGUGAGUAACACGUAAGUAAUCUACCCUCGAGUGGGGAAUAACAGUCGGAAACGACUGCUAAUACCGCAUAAUGCAGCGGCACCGCAAGAUGACAGUUGUUAAAGGAGCAAUCCGCUUGAAGAGGAGCUUGCGGCAGAUUAGCUAGUUGGUAAGGUAAUGGCUUACCAAGGCUACGAUCUGUAUCCGGCCUGAGAGGGCGGUCGGACACACUGACACUGAAUAACGGGUCAGACUCCUACGGGAGGCAGCAGUCGGGAAUUUUGGGCAAUAGGCGAAAGCCUGACCCAGCAACGCCGCGUGAAGGAUGAAGUAUUUCGGUAUGUAAACUUCGAAAGAAUGGGAAGAAUAAAUGACGGUACCAUUUAUAAGCUCCGGCUAACUACGUGCCAGCCGCCGCGGUAAAAC
rnacentral:rRNA from 1 species